GACGAACGCUGGCGGCGUGCUUAACACAUGCAAGUCGAACGGCAAGGCACUGCUUUUGUGGGGUGCUCGAGUGGCGAACGGGUGAGUGACACGUGAGUAACCUGCCCUUGACUUUCGGGUAACAUCAGGAAACUGGGGCUACUACCGGAUCGGAGCUCCUGCUCCGUGGAGGGGGUUGGAAAGUCGCGGCGGGUGGGGAUGGACUAGCGGCUGAUCAGCUAGUUGGUGGGGUAGUGGCUGACCAAGUGAUUGACGGGUAGCCGGCCUGGGAGGGGGAACGGCCACAUGGGUCCUGCGAGACGGCCCAGACUCCAACAGUAGACAGCAGGGGGGAACAUGGUACAAUGAGCGGGAGCCGGAGGCAGCAACCCCGCGGUCGGGAUGACGUCCUUCGGGUUGUAAACCGCAGUCGCCUGAGACGAGGCGUGAGUGACGGUAAUGGGUAAAGAAGCACCGGCUAACUACGUG
rnacentral:rRNA from 1 species